rnacentral:rRNA from 1 species
CAGCAGCCACGGGAAUACGUAGGGUGCAAGCGUUAAUCGGAAUUACUGGGCGUAAAGCGUGCGCAGGCGGUUCUAUAAGACAGAUGUGAAAUCCCCGGGCUCAACCUGGGAACUGCAUUUGUGACUGUAGAGCUCGAGUACGGUAGAGGGGGAUGGAAUUCCGCGUGUAGCAGUGAAAUGCGUAGAUAUGCGGAGGAACACCGAUGGCGAAGGCAAUCCCCUGGACCUGUACUGACGCUCAUGCACGAAAGCGUGGGGAGCAAACAGGAUUAGAUACCCGCGUAGUCCCUGUCUCUUAUAC